GCUGCCUAUACAUGCAAGUCGAGCGGACUUGAAGAGAAGCUUCGCUUCUCUGAUAGUUAGCGGCGGACGGGUGAGUAACACGUAGGCAACCUGCCCUCAAGGUUGGGACAACUACCGGAAACGGUAGCUAAUACCGAAUAGUUGUUUUCUUCUCCUGAAGAGAACUGGAAAGACGGAGCAAUCUGUCACUUGGGGAUGGGCCUGCGGCGCAUUAUCUAGUUGGUGGGGUAACGGCUCACCAAGGCGACGAUGCGUAGCCGACCUGAGAGGGUGAUCGGCCACACUGGGACUGAGACACGGCCCACACUCCUACGGGAGGCAGCAGUAGGGAAUCUUCCGCAAUGGGCGAAAGCCUGACGGAGCAAUGCCGCGUGAGUGAUGAAGGUUUUCGGAUCGUAAAGCUCUGUUGCCAGGGAAGAACGCUUGGGAGAGUAACUGCUCUCAAGGUGACGGUACCUGAGAAGAAAGCCCCGGCUAACUACGUGCCAGCAGCCGCGGUAAUACGUAGGGGGCAAGCGUUGUCCGGAAUUAUUGGGCGUAAAGCGCGCGCAGGCGGUCAUUUAAGUCUGGUGUUUAAUCCCGGGGCUCAACCCCGGAUCGCACUGGAAACUGGGUGACUUGAGUGCAAAGAGGAGAGUGGAAUUCCACGUGUAGCGGUGAAAUGCGUAAUAUGUGGAGGAACACCAGUGGCGAGGCGACUCUCUGGGCUGUAACUGACGCUGAGGCGCGAAAGCGUGGGGAGCAAACAGGAUUAUAUACCCUGGUAGUCCACGCCGUAAACGAUGAGUGCUAGGUGUUAGGGGUUUCGAUACCCUUGGUGCCGAAGUUAACACAUUAAGCACUCCGCCUGGGGAGUACGGUCGCAAGACUGACACUCAAAGGAAUUGACGGGGCACCCGCACAAGCAGUGGAGUAUGUGUUUUAAUUCGAAGCAACGCGAAGAACCUUACCAGGUCUUGACAUCCCUAUGAUCGGUACAGAGAUGUAUCUUUUCUUCAGAACAUAGAAGACAGGUGCUGCAUGAUUGUCGUCAGCUCGUGUCGUGAGAUGUUGGGUUAAGUCCCGCAACGAGCGCCACCCAUGAUCUUAGUUGCCAGCAUUUCGGAUGGGCACUCUAAGGUGACUGCCGGUGACAAACCGGAGGAGGGAGGGGAUGACGUCAUAUC
rnacentral:rRNA from 1 species